CCUGGUAGCUCAGAGGUUAAAGCGUCUGCCUGUAAUGCGGGAGACCCGGGUUCGAUCCCUGGGUCAGGA
rnacentral:tRNA from 1 species